rnacentral:rRNA from 1 species
GUUGAUCCUGGCUCAGGAUGAACGCUGGCGGUCUGCUUAACACAUGCAAGUCGAACGGGCUCUUCGGAGCUAGUGGGGAGGGUGAGUAACGCGUGAGGAUUGCUUAGGAGGGGGAUACGAUGGAAACGGUCGCUAAUACCGCAUAUGCCUACGGGUGAAAGAUUUAUCGCCUGGAGAUGAACUCGCGUCAGAUUAGCUAGUUGGUGGGGUAAGAGCCUACCAAGGCGACGAUCUGUAGCUGGUCUGAGAGGAUGAUCAGCCACACUGGGACUGAGACACGGCCCAGACUCCUACGGGAGGCAGCAGUGGGGAAUUUUCCGCAAUGGGCGCAAGCCUGACGGAGCAAGACCGCGUGCGGGAUGACGGCCUAAUGGUUGUAAACCGCUUUUCUCUGGGAAGAUGAUGACGGUACCAGAGGAAUCAGCCUCGGCUAACUCCGUGCCAGCAGCCGCGGUAAUACGGAGGAGGCAAGCGUUAUCCGGAAUUAUUGGGCGUAAAGCGUCCGUAGGUGGUUAUUCAAGUCUGCUGUCAAAGCGUGGGGCUUAACUCCAUAGAGGCAGUGGAAACUGGAUGACUUGAGUGCGGUAGGGGUCGAGGGAAUUCCCAGUGUAGCGGUGAAAUGCGUAGAUAUUGGGAAGAACACCAGUGGCGAAAGCGCUCGACUGGGCCUGCACUGACACUGAGGGACGAAAGCUAGGGGAGCGAAAGGGAUUAGAUACCCCUGUAGUCCUAGCCGUAAACGAUGGAUACUAGGUGUUGCUCGUCAUCGACCCGAGCAGUGCCGUAGCCAACGCGUUAAGUAUCCCGCCUGGGGAGUACGCUCGCAAGAGUGAAACUCAUAGGAAUUGACGGGGGCCCGCACAAGCGGUGGAGUAUGUGGUUUAAUUCGAUG